GCAGGAAGCACAGCACCGCCAGCUACCACGCAGACAUCCUGGGGAACUGAGCCCACCACCUACCAGAGGUAGUGGAAAAGAAAGGACAUGGGGGAAGUGGACCUGUUUUAGAAAUGGUUCUGUGGAGCAACUCCCAUCUGUGUUGUCAGGAAGGUCAGCAACAGCAGCUUGAUCCACUUGCACACACUUCACAGAUACCCCAGCAGUCCAGUUCAGGAUAGUUGGGAGAGCAAACAUGAAUCAGCAGUGGUGGCGUCACCUAACAGGAACAGCCAGGCCUCAGCCAGAUCAGCACAAGUCAACGGGAGUUCCCAGCUGUGCCUCUCUCAGUAAAGCAAAGAUCAGCGAAGAUGAGAGACCAAGAAGUAUUGCAGAGCUACCUCUACAAGCAAGCCCCUCUCAGUCCUAUUUACACUUCCUCCAAACCUCACAUGCUCUCCAUAGCUCUUGCCUCAGCAUGUGAGCCUGUCUUAGCAAAGCUCCACCAGUCUAUCAGCUGACAUCACUGCCAGUUGACCCAAGUCCUCAGAAGCCGCAAGAAGCCGCAGCAUACCACCAGAAGGUUUUUUUUUGGUGUAUUUCUAUUUCUGGAGUCCUGACAAAUAGCGCUCAACUACACAGUUUAAGGCGGACCAAUACUCGUGUGUUGUUAAUGAAGAAUCCUUCGCCACGUGUCCUUUCAUGUGCUUGCUUUAGCAGAGCAUCCUUUCACCUGUGUCUGCUUCAGUGAAACGUUCCUUCACAAGACUGCUUUAGCGAAACAUCCUUUCACCUGUGUCCACUUCAGGGAAACACUCCUUCACUUGUUUGUCCCAGCAAAACACCAUCCAACACAACUGACUUUCCAAAGAACCCUUCAAUCUACAGUAAAAAAGAAGACUCAGAAACCACCUUAGAAAUGCAUCUCACAAAAUACCUGCAAGGCCGUUAGAAAACUACAGAAAGAUUUUUUAAACAUAAUGUCUGAAAAUACCCUAGAUAUCCUAAAAACACACUUCUUUCCCCAGAAGUAAUCUAUAUAUGUAAUAUGAUACCAAAUAAAAUUUCAACAGGGUCUUUAAAAAU
rnacentral:lncRNA from 1 species